GACAGAGGGUGCAAACGUUGUUCGGAAUUACUGGGCAUAAAGCGCACGUAGGUGGUCCGCUAAGUCGCGUGUGAAAUCCCUCGGCUCAACCGAGGAAUUGCGGGCGAUACUGGCGGGCUAGAGAUCGGGAGGGGUGAGUGGAACUCCGAGUGUAGAGGUGAAAUUCGUAGAUAUUCGGAAGAACACCAGUGGCGAAGGCGACUUACUGGACAUCUGUUGACGCUGAGGUGCGAAAGCGUGGGGAGCAAACAGG
rnacentral:rRNA from 1 species